rnacentral:lncRNA from 1 species
UUGCCUAGCGCAUCUGAUAGGGCUUGUUUUCUUUUUCAUUUAUUUUGAAAGGAGAUAUCCCCGGUAUGUCGUUUGUUGAUGAUGGAUUCAUUUCCGGUUUCCCUAGCCAGGGUAGUUCCCUCGAGAGCAUUUACAACUUGUCCCUAGUAGGGUUGCCAGAUCACAGUUUGAUGUUUGUAUCUCCUCCGAGUCUGAAGAUUUCUUCU